GAGUUUGAUCCUGGCUCAGGAUGAACGCUAGCGGGAGGCUUAACACAUGCAAGUCGAGGGGUAUAAUUAGCAAUAGUUAGAGACCGGCGCACGGGUGAGUAACGCGUAUGCAACCUGCCCUUUACCGGGGGAUAGCCCGUAGAAAUGCGGAUUAAUACCCCAUAGGUCUGUCAGAUCGCAUGGUUUGACAGAUAAAGCUGAGGUGGUAAAGGAUGGGCAUGCGUGACAUUAGCUUGUUGGUGAGGUAACGGCUCACCAAGGCUGCGAUGUCUAGGGGUUCUGAGAGGAAGAUCCCCCACACUGGUACUGAGACACGGACCAGACUCCUACGGGAGGCAGCAGUGAGGAAUAUUGGGCAAUGGGCGCAAGCCUGACCCAGCCAUGCCGCGUGCAGGAUGACGGCGCUAUGCGUUGUAAACUGCUUUUGUACAGGAAGAAACCCAUUUACGUGUAAGUGGUUGACGGUACUGUCAGAAUAAGCAUCGGCUAACUCCGUGCCAGCAGCCGCGGUAAUACGGAGGAUGCAAGCGUUAUCCGGAUUCAUUGGGUUUAAAGGGCGCGUAGGCGGAGUACUAAGUCAGUGAUGAAAUCCUGCAGCUUAACUGUAGAACUGUCAUUGAUACUGGUACUCUUGAAUGCAGUUGAGGUAGGCGGAAUGUGUAAUGUAGCGGUGAAAUGCUUAGAUAUUACACAGAACACCGAUUGCGAAGGCAGCUUACUAAACUGUGAUUGACGCUGAGGCACGAA
rnacentral:rRNA from 1 species